AACUAAACAAAUCAUGUAUUUGAUGCUCAUUCACCGGAUGGAGCUUGACUGCUCCCUGGUGGUAGAACGAGGUCACGCUGACACACGCGAUACACACACGCGGAGUGAUGGCGGCAUGCCAUCAAUUAAACAAAUGAAACAUAAUGAGAAACAGACGAGAGGGAGAGAUCAGCCAGAGUCAUUUUGAAUGCAGGAAGAGGAGACUCUGGAGACGAGGAAGCACAUCCCGCUCCAGACUUAUGACGCACCGCCAUUUUGUCCUGUUUCCCAACAAUGGAGAUGGUCUCAAAGCAUCUGGACCGGAGGGAUGUGUUUUGGAUGAUGUUGAAGCAACGUUAACAAGAGCAUUGUUGUUCAUACUAUAUUGACACACUAUUUACUUGCCCCCAUGGGUAACGAGGAUGUGUGAUUGGCCACAACGGGUGGACCGAAAGUCUAUCUGUUGAUUUUGAAGCUAGCUCUUGGAUGAAAACACUCACUCUAUUUUGGCCCUUUUUUUCAUUUCCUUUUUCAUUGUGUGUGGAACUUCUAUACAAACUCAACCAAUGCCGUUCAUCGGUUGACCCUCGCCGAGGGCCGUCCAACAGUGACCAGACAAGAGUCUGGCAGCCUUCCUUAUCAACGCAUUCCUCACCGGAAAAAAACUUUUCUUGGAAACAUCUCUUGUUAGCUUUUAGUAUUAGUUUCUAUUUGCAAGGAAAAGGUGUGUUCACAGAUUGUUUAAUUUACAGCGCACAUGCCGUAGGAAGAUCUGGAGUCAAUGGCGUAACUUACUGAAAUAACGAAAUACUGUCUGACACAUAAACCCAAAGACUUACGGCCAAAUUCCUGGGCUGUGGAUGCAGACUUUCCUGCAUUUGGUCUCCAUUAGGUUAAUUAAGUUUUGGUUUCUCCCUCUCUCUACAUUUAACCCAAUGUUGUUUAGAAUAGGGGAGAUGUUUAUUUGACAAGUCAGAGUGACGAAUUAACAGGGGAGUUUGAAAGCAGCGGGUCGCUUUUAUUAGUCACAGGCAAUGAUUUUGUAUAGAUUUCUCUGGCGGCUCGUUAUACCCAGCCACUUCAAAGAGUGCAGUGGAAACAGUGCGGUGGCUCGAAUUGGCCGGGAUUUCUUUUUCGCUUUUACCAGGGCUCAGCAGCACUGAGGUGGUCCCGCCCUGACCUGGACGACUCGCGAGCAACCGGGUUUUCAUUACAUGUCUGCUUUCUUUCUCUCAUCCAUCCAUCCAUCCAUACACGCACAUAUUACUAUGCCGUGGAGCGUUCGCCUACACAAAAAGAACGCUGUUGACUGCCCAAGACAGGCAGGUCUUUGUGAGGAAGCCUUUCACCUGCCUUCUGACGGGGAACGUUCCCCACAUAAAAGCAUGUCAACGCGAGACGGGAGGCGUGACCAAUACAUGUCAUGCUUUGUGAUCCGUCGGGGCUUUCACAUGUGCAACAAAUUCAUGUGCACACGCUCGCCCUGUGUGUGCAUGUGUUUGCAUGUGUGUGUCUGUGUGUGUGCAGUUGUGUGUGUAUGUGUGUGUGUGUGUUCAUACAUGUGUUUGUGCAGUUGUGUUUGCCGUUGUGUGUGCGCCUACGAGUGUGCGCAUACGUGUGUGUGUUUGUGCGUUUGCUACUGGACUAUGCUUGCUGUGAUGAUGGAUGAGCUGGCUGAUCACUUCCACAGAUCGGACUCCAGGGAGACGUUCCAUUCCUGCUCCGCACCAUGUGUGACCACAGAGGUUCAGGAAAAUCCAUGGCCUGUCUGACUCCUCCACCUCUUCAGCGUCAGCCUGGUACCCAUUGAUCACGAGGAGGUGUAUGGCUCGACGGCCACACAGUGACAGUGCCUGGAUAAAGAACAUUAUGUUAAAUACAUUGUCUUUAUGAAGGGUCGCUGGCUUUCUUUGAAGGUGUCAUUAAUCAGAAUGUCGCACCAUUUGUCACCCUACUGAUAACAUUUAGGGGAGUUUUGUGAGCCCCUAAACGUUUUGGCUGUUGGGAUUGGGAUUGAUAGUGUCUGCUACUCGUGGAUUUGCGAUAUCGUCCUCUUGUUGAAAUGCAUCGAGUGCUAUCCAAGCUACUUUAGUGACAAGUGUGUGUGCAUCCUCUGUUAAGAGGAAACCUUCGGAGUACUUUUAGUUCAAUAGCUUUGUCAUUUCUGCAAUACAGUUGACGAUUUCAGUGUACUUCCACGGCAAUCUGGUCCUAUAAUACUUUUAGUGUAAAUAUAAUGUGUAACUGAUUUUGAAGGGGAGCCGACUCUUCUCAUUGACUUCUUAAUAGGCCAAUGUUGUUAUGCAGUUUCAGACCUUGUCAUGUCAAAUUAAAUGUGUCACUUUCUCUCAAUGAUCAAUAUUAUGCUAUAUUUAUCUAUUUUUCUGUAUUUUUAUUUUUAUGCCAUAUCUUCAGCAGUAUUCACCUUACUGCUAGUUUUCUAACGGUCCUUGAACACCAAAGAACAAGCAGCAGAAGAAGAAAUGUUUGUCAGAUGUGUGGAUUGCUAAUUGUGUCCACCUGUGUGUUCUGGCUGUUGGUUCCCUGGGUUCUGCCGCGGGUGUCUUCGGCGUUCUGUCCUAUGUCGCAUUCCUUCCUGCUGAUCUGGGUUUUCCUUUUGGAAUUUAGACACUAACUAUUAUAUUAUUAUUUGCCAAGACUUUUAUGUUUUGGAGUUUUGGUCUCUGUGACUUUAGAUUACACUAAAUCAAAUAUGGGCGAAAACAUUAAACAAUAUAAUUUCUCAAAAUGAUGAAAUAUAUAAAUAGUUGGGAUGGUUUUGGGUUUGCUGAGAGAAAAAGAAAGCCAGGGCUGUGUCUGAUUUAACUUCCAGACAUCUUAAUCUCAGAUCUUCGGCUCGCCCAUAAAGCAAGUUGAAAAUGCAGGAAUCCACGGUAUGAAACUAGAUAUUUGCAAGACACCGAAGUCCAAGGCUUAUCCACAGUAAACGUUGUGUGUGCGCGAUAAGGUGUGUGCAUUUGUUCACAGGACUGUGUCCAAAAGCGUUAGCGUGUGCCUGGGUGUGUCCGUGUUUAAAACUCAGAAUAGAAGAAAGACCACUACAGGCUGAUCCUGUUAUACGGCACCCCCUGGACGUGGCUUAGCUAAUCACAGUACACCUGGCCUCCUGCUCUGAGAAGGGUUUUACUCCUUAAUCUCCUCAAUUUGCCUCUCCUUCCUCCUGACUUAUCUCCUCUCCCCCACCUCAUCCCUGCCUGCUAG
ensembl:lncRNA